GUAGGUGAACCUGCGGAAGGAUCAUUAAUUAUCGGUAGUUUACUACCGUUUGAAGGGGGUGGAAAGCUUCCAGGUCUUCCUGGGGGCGAGUACAUCCUAUUCUUAACCCUUGACUUUUUGCGCACUCAUGUUUCCUCGGCAGGCUUGCCUGCCGAAUGGACAAAUCAAUAACCUAUUUAAUAUUUAAUCAGCGUCUGAAUUAUUUUAAUAAUUACAACUUUCAACAACGGAUCUCUUGGUUCUG
rnacentral:misc_RNA from 1 species